AGCAGCCGCGGUAAUUCCAGCUCCAAUAGCGUAUAUUAAAGUUGUUGCAGUUAAAAAGCUCGUAGUUGAAUUUCGGGGUUAGUAAGUUGGUCGUGCCUAUGGUAUGUACUGACUUUACUGAUUCCUCCCUCUUGACGAACUGUAAUGUCAUUAAUUUGGUGUUGCAGGGAAUCAGGACUGUUACUUUGAAAAAUUAGAGUGUUUAAAGCAGGCUAACGCUUGAAUACAUUAGCAUGGAAUAAUGAAAUAGGACGUUGAUCCUAUUUUGUUGGUUUCUAGGAUUGACGUAAUGAUUAAUAGGGAUAGUUGGGGGCAUUAGUAUUCAAUUGUCAGAGGUGAAAUUCUUGGAUUUAUUGAAGACUAACUACUGCGAAAGCAUUUGCCAAGGAUGUUUUCAUUAAUCAAGAACGAAAGUUAGGGGAUCGAAGACGAUCAGAUACCGUCGUAGUC
rnacentral:rRNA from 1 species